rnacentral:lncRNA from 1 species
CUAACAUCACACACCAAUCAAAAUGCAUGCUUUCAAAUAAUAAUAAAAAAAAAUACUUUGUUUGAUAUAUAUAAUCUUGGCAAGCUAAACAGCACUCUCACACCAUGAGGGUUGUGUGACCAUGGUAAAGACACACCACAGGCACAUGAAACCCUUCUUAUUACAAGCACAAAUUAAACCAAAUCAAACCACACACAGAUGAAUAUAGUUAAGCAGUAGCACACGCAGGAAUGAGAACCCGUUAACAGUUAAUUAAGGAGCAUCAAGCUAGCAAGCACAUAUUUUAUUCUUCGCAAGACACCCCAACACCAUCUUGGAAAAGCAAUCACUGAUUUGAACUGUUGCCACCGCCAAACCUACACAGACAACAUAAUGCAUAAGUGAGCUAUACAUCUGCACUGUACAAGCAUGUAGAGAGUUCAGAUUAUCACAUAGUAAAAUUUAGUUUUAUGUGAUAGAUGCAUGAAACAGGAAACAAAGGGAGAAAGACUUGUGCAUAUAUGUGUACCUGAACGGUUACAUCAGGGAUCACUGC